GUCAUUUUUUUAAAAUCAACAUUCAACAACAACAAAAUAUGUUGCAAGACAUAUUGCAAUCAGCACUGCUAAGUAUUUUCUCACAGGAUAAUGCCGGUACAUGUAUGUAUUUUACAUAAUUAUAUCAUAAUAUCGUGUUUGUGGUAAACUUAUUUUAAAAUGGCUAUCUCGUCACGGUUGUGCGCGCAACAGGUCGAUUCCCAGUAUAAGUUCAUUUUUCCACAUAUUUUAUUAUUCAGUCAUAUCGGUCACUCCGUGCGUAUGUUUGCUACCCGCUUAGUCGCAGCACACCACACACCCAAUACAAAAUCCGUUACAACUGGUAGGCGUAAAUUGUCCUAUAAUAUCUCGAAUACGCGUAACGACACCCCCUAAACUAGAGUAACCCCGACGCUGUCUUUACACGCGUUUUUGUUCCGUACUCUACCGAACGCUCGUGUUUAGUCAUGUAAUUUCUUACGGAUUAGACUUUUAAACGUGUAUAGAAGAAGAGAUGAUGCAACAAAACGGUGGAUGGAAUUGGGAGAACCAAAACCAGUGCACCGGCACCACCAUGAUAGAAAUAUUCAGGGAAAAUUACGUCAACUGCGCAAUUUUCUAAGCGGGAAAUUCAAAAGUCAAGGAAUUCAGUGUCUUAUUAUUUACCUAUUUAAAAUUUAUAAUAAACAAUUGUAUUUAAAUUUAAAAAAAGCUUCAAACUGAAGAUUUAUUUUGUCAUUGUUAUUUGUUACUAUACCAUUUACUUCUUUGGAUG